GAGUCCUCUGUGUGUGCUUACUCCCUGUACCUAGAAAACUUGCCGUUUCAUUUGAGGGAGUGGAAAGUUGGAAUCUGCGAGAAAUCUCCUGCCCUGCAGAGGGAGCUGCCCAUGAAACUCCAUCACUAACUUGCACUAGAAAUGAGCUGAUCAGCCGCUGGCCUGCGAUGUGAUGUGGAAUGGAGUUCGUUCUGUGCCGCACUUCUGAGCAUUGGGGAUCACUCGGAAAUCGAAUCUCCUAACACGAUCAAUGACCGUCAUUUAUCUUCCAAAGGCACAUUUGACUAAUCAGAUUCUCUCAUUUUCCUCUAUUGUGACUUUCAACCAUGCUUCCUAUUAGAGGAGAAACACAGAACGAUCCUUUCAACUGCUUUCCAUACAAUUAACAUCAAAGAGAAAUAAGUCACUCAGAGUCACAGAUAAAAAAUUAGCCAAUUAUAUACUGAAACUGGGACAAACAAUUAUGUCAAUAAAAUCGACUGGCACAAGAAGCCGGAUCCAUGAAACCAGGAUGUUUGGCAGAAUAUCAGAAUUGUAUUGGCAAUCCAACGCCCUUAACUGCCUGAGGAAGAGAGAUGUGGAAGUGGGACCACGGCCCUUGUCCUGUGUCUUUUCAGAUCAGACUAAAUGUUUCCUCACACAGUGUCCGGAGGGCCAGCCGUGGAACAUGGAAGAUAGGUAGGUAACCAGCCAGGGUCACCCCAGUGCCCACUACUGCCCGCCGGGUGCGAAGAAAUGAACCAUGCGAAGGUCUGAUGACCAGGCAGAGUGGCAGGCGUUGGAGUUGAAUACAAAAGUCUUUGAACUUUUAAUUUUCAUAUUAUGUAACAGAUUCCUGACCCCAUUCAUAGAGGAUCAAAGUUAAGACUCAGAUUUUACUAUUCUUGCAGACAACAGGCCUCUAUUACAUGAAUUGAAAAAGUAAAUCCCAAGAUCAGCUAACUUGAAAUCCUCAGCAAUUUCCUUUUCAGUUUUUUUCCCCCUUUUUGCUACUGACCUCCAAGCUUAAGUCCACUGUGACUUCACAGAACUCUGCUGCCUGUAAAUGAUUUGGAGAACAACCAACAGACCACUGUAGGGAGGUGGGGCAUCUUUUUCAAAGAUGUUUCCUGGGCUGACUGACCACACCAGGGGUCUCAUGCAGUCUUUUUAUCAGUUCCAUACUGAAAUUGUAUGGCAAUAAAUGGGGUUGCCGUAGCUGACUUUCUCUCCA
rnacentral:lncRNA from 1 species